rnacentral:rRNA from 1 species
UACGAAGGGGGCUAGCGUUGCUCGGAAUUACUGGGCGUAAAGCGCGCGUAGGCGGCUUUGUAAGUUAGAGGUGAAAGCCCGGAGCUCAACUCCGGAAUUGCCUUUAAGACUGCAUCGCUAGAAUCAUGGAGAGGUUAGUGGAAUUCCGAGUGUAGAGGUGAAAUUCGUAGAUAUUCGGAAGAACACCAGUGGCGAAGGCGACUAACUGGACAUGUAUUGACGCUGAGGUGCGAAAGCGUGGGGAGCAAACAGG